rnacentral:misc_RNA from 1 species
GAUGAAGAACGCAGCGAAAUGCGAUAAGUAGUGUGAAUUGCAGAAUUCAGUGAAUCAUCGAAUCUUUGAACGCACAUUGCGCCCCUUGGUAUUCCAUGGGGCAUGCCUGUUCGAGCGUCAUUUGUACCUUCAAGCUUUGCUUGGUGUUGGGUGUUUGUCCAUUCUCUUGCAGAGGGACUCGCCUUAAAGUAAUUGGCAGCCAGUGUUUUGGUUUUGAAGCGCAGCACAAGUCGCGAUUCAAAGCUAUACGCCCGCUUCCACAAGCCUUUUUCACUUUUGACCUCGGAUCAGGUAGGGAUACCCGCUGAACUUAAGCACAUCAAUAAGCGGAGGA